GUGUGUUGUUGCUUCCCUCUCGUUUCUUCCUCUCCUGAUUGGUGUCUCUCUUGGACGAAAGAGCCACGUCUCUCGACGAGGAAGAAAAACGGCGUCUAUUCGAUCGUCUUUCAAAUUCAUCUCCGCAGAAUCUCUAACUCUUCGCGACGAUUCCAUUUCCAGAUCAGGGAGAAAGCCACUUGCUAGAUUCCCUUCCGGCGAUUGGGUGAUCUCAGAGAUGCCGGUUACACAGCAAGAUCUGAAGCUCGCCGUAUCAAAGGUUGGUGACUUUUCGGAUGAUAACCGAUCAAAGAUUAACAGAUCUUUGCAUCGUAUAAGCGCUAUACGUAACCGGAAACUCCAAAUAAUUGGUUUAACGUGUUGAGUGGGACGAGUUGUAUCGGGAAGUGCAGAGAUCAUAAGAGACUUGAUAGAAGGAGGAAGAUCCAUCUUGGUCAUAGGAUCUCCUGGAGUUGGCAAAACAACUUUAAUCAGAGAAAUCGCACGGAUGUUAGCUGAUGAGCACAGGAAACGCGUAGUGAUUGUUGACACGUCAAACGAGAUUGGUGGUGAUGGUGAUGUUCCUCACUCUGGUAUCGGCCGUGCCAGGCGGAUGCAAAUUCCAAAUGUGAAUCUACAGCACGAUGUAAGUGUAUGAAAGCUUAGCCUUGAAGUAAAACGUUUUUGUAACGUUUAAAAAA